UUAGACAAUGAGCAGAGAGGACCUGGGUUUCCAGGGCAACAGGGAGGGAGAACCACAGGGCACAGGGGAGCUGAGAGAUGAGGGGAGAUGUAAUGGUGAUGGAAGAACUGGAAGGAGGAAAACUAAAAUUAAAAAAUGAUUUGGCUCCACUGAAUGGGCUGCUAUUGCUGAAAAGCAACACAAAUUCUACACGGAGGCAAGCCUUCUGCAGGAGUAACCUGUUCCCCUUGGGGCACCAGUCUCCAUCAGAGUCUGGGAUGUCACCUGUCAUCAACCACACCUAUGCAAAACUCAGGAGGAGUAAAAGUGAAAUAAAGACGAUCGACACUUUCACGGCAGCUCAGGCAGGAUUUGCCACCAAAUGAGGUUUAGCACCAAAAAGGGAAAAUUGUUGUUUUUCAUCAUUUUUGUUUGAGUAUUUCUUCUACAAUUACUCAGGAAGAAUGGAUCCAAAACCCAGAAUAUAAGACCCAAAAGAACCUGCCUGCACUAAGAG
rnacentral:lncRNA from 1 species